CUUGGUACAGGUGUUUUAAGAGGAGUCUUAAAGAGUCUUUGGUACCUACUCCUACAUUGCUCCAAAAUCAUCUACCUGGCAGCAUUAGGGCUAGUCUUCUGGUUAGAACAGCAGAAAGAUUACAGAGUAAAUGCUGAAGUCUUUGCUCAUACUAAAAUACAAUUAACUUUGCUUGGUUGUCUAAUGGUCCUCGCUGUCGUUCACCGGGUGUGAGAUCAUCAAUACUGCUUUGUAGAGAAAGCCUCAUGGUGGAUAAUUCCUUUCAGAAAUAUUUGUUUCCUGGAGAUUGGAGGUGAAACCCUGGCCCCACUGACACUAGUGACAAAGUAAUUGAUGGCUUCAAAGGGUCCAAAAUAUUGUAAGUAUCAUCCUGAUCAACAUCAAGAUUUCAAAAAUUAAAACCAUUUAAUACUGACAUUUGACUGAAUGGUUUUUAUUCUAUUAUUACAAGCCCAAACUGCUAUUUUGUCUGACAUAGAUGUAGUAUAGCCAGUGGCACUGUUUAAUUUCAGCAUUCCCAUAUAGCCUAGACUUUGUCGCUCUCUCGCACUCCUCAGAAGUAAAGGGGACUGUGUGGAACAGAUGGCACCACCUGGACCACAGUUCAGAGUAUGUCCUGAUUUGUGAUAGAGUUAAAAUUCUGAAGGUUAUUCCUGAGUAGUUAAAAUCCUUACUGAGAGGAAAAUCACCUGAUGUUCUCCAAGCCUUAGAGUUGUCUCUGGAAAGAGUGAUGGUCUGCAAUCAACUGUA
rnacentral:lncRNA from 1 species